UCGCAAUAGCGAUUGAAACGGCAUCCUUUUUUGCCAUUAAAAGCAAAAAAGAUACAGUGGAAAGCGCGGUGCUUU
rnacentral:sRNA from 1 species